ACACUUGGCCUGCCAGGACAUCAUCUGUACUCAUAGAAGGAUCUGAAGCCAGUUUGGCCUUCAGGCUGGUGAAUGGAGGUGACAGGUGUCAGGGCCGAGUGGAAGUCCUCUACUGAGGCUCCUGGGGCACCAUGUGUGAUGACAGCUGGGACAUCAGUGAUGCCAAUGUGUGGUCUGCAGGCAGCUGGGCUGUGGUUGGGCCAUGUCGGCCCCAGGAAAUGCCCGGUUUGGUCAGGGCUAUGGACCCAUUGUCCUGGAUGAUAUGCACUGCUCAGGACACGAGUCCUACCUGUGGUGCUGUCCCCACAGUGGCUGGCUCUUCCAUAACUGUCAGCACAGUGAAGACGCUGGGGUCAUCUGCUCAGCUGCCCAGUCCCGGUCAACGCCCAGGCCAG